UAAUCCUCCUGAAGCCAAGCAGUCCAUUCGGAAUGCGAUACCAAGAAACCAGAGGCUGAAGCACAACGCAAGAUUGACGAACUGCGUUCGUUCACAGGGCGGCGCACACCGCAAUCUAAGGAUGGACGGGUACGGGGUUCUACCUUCAGGGCCGAACGCGCCCCGACUGAUUGCAUUCGAAUCAGAAGACGAAGAGGGGAUUGGUUUCCUGGCGGCGUUGUGGAGCCUGAGCCGGACGAGGAAGAUCAGAACCAGGACAAUGGAAAGGCGCCCCCAACCGGCUCGAGAUGCGGCGUGAAGAAGUUGCACGAUCCGAUUUCCUCGUUCAAUGACGAGAAAAGACAGUACGUCGAGAUGGUGUUUGGGGGGCUGCUAGAUUUAGUUGGAUGUUUACUGAUGUGUUUUUCCAUAAGUUACAUUUCAUUUUUAUGUGGAGAGCAAGUAAGUAUUGGUUCACACGUGUUU